rnacentral:lncRNA from 1 species
CAAUAUUUGAAACAUACUCUUUUUUUCAUUGUUCAUUUGGGAUUCAAAUUUAACUGGAUGUCCUGUAUUUUAUGUGGCAACACUAACUAGUUAACAAUCAAGGAUCCUAUUACUAAUCAAGGGUGAAGGGGCACGGGGAGGAAAGGUGAACGCUGAAGGACAAUCAGAAGUCUCUGCCACAAAAUGAGAACUCUCAAACUGGGUGGCAAUAAAUGUUGGUCCUCUCUUCCCUUUCCCUGUGAGGCAAGGCAAAACCAGAGGGUGGCUGCAGGGAUAACUGCUGGUAGAGCCAACAUCUGUUUUUGAAAUAGAACCAAUGUUCUAUUUCAAUGGCUAGUUUAAUCACACGAGACACAUGUAUUUGGUUAAGACCUCAGAGAUCUCUGCUCUAUGCAUGAAAGAGACAACUGUGGCCUGAAAAGCAACAUUAAUAAAAGCACUGCUUCUUUUUAAUCACAAAAA